AGCGGCGGACGGUUUUUUAACGCGUGGAUAACCUACCUAUAAGACUGGGAUAACUUCGGGAAACCGGAGCUAAUACCGGAUAAUAUAUUGAGCCGCAUGGUUCAAUAGUGAAAGACGGUUUUGCUGUCACUUAUAGAUGGAUCCGCGCCGCAUUAGCUAGUUGGUAAGGUAACGGCUUACCAAGGCAACGAUGCGUAGCCGACCUGAGAGGGUGAUCGGCCACACUGGAACUGAGACACGGUCCAGACUCCUACGGGAGGCAGCAGUAGGGAAUCUUCCGCAAUGGGCGAAAGCCUGACGGAGCAACGCCGCGUGAGUGAUGAAGGUCUUCGGAUCGUAAAACUCUGUUAUUAGGGAAGAACAAAUGUGUAAGUAACUAUGCACGUCUUGACGGUACCUAAUCAGAAAGCCACGGCUAACUACGUGCCAGCAGCCGCGGUAAUACGUAGGUGGCAAGCGUUAUCCGGAAUUAUUGGGCAUAAAGCGCGCGUAGGCGGUUUUUUAAGUCUGAUGUGAAAGCCCACGGCUCAACCGUGGGAGGGUCAUUGGAAACUGGAAAACUUGAGUGCAGAAGAGGAAAGUGGAAUUCCAUGUGUAGCGGUGAAAUGCGCAGAGAUAUGGAGGAACACCAGUGGCGAAGGCGACUUUCUGGUCUGUAACUGACGCUGAUGUGCGAAAGCGUGGGGAUCAAACAGGAUUAGAUACCCUGGUAGUCCACGCCGUAAACGAUGAGUGCUAAGUGUUAGGGGGUUUCCGCCCCUUAGUGCUGCAGCUAACGCAUUAAGCACUCCGCCUGGGGAGUACGACCGCAAGGUUGAAACUCAAAGGAAUUGACGGGGACCCGCACAAGCGGUGGAGCAUGUGGUUUAAUUCGAAGCAACGCGAAGAACCUUACCAAAUCUUGACAUCCUCUGACCCCUCUAGAGAUAGAGUUUUCCCCUUCGGGGGACAGAGUGACAGGUGGUGCAUGGUUGUCGUCAGCUCGUGUCGUGAGAUGUUGGGUUAAGUCCCGCAACGAGCGCAACCCUUAAGCUUAGUUGCCAUCAUUAAGUUGGGCACUCUAAGUUGACUGCCGGUGACAAACCGGAGGAAGGUGGGGAUGACGUCAAAUCAUCAUGCCCCUUAUGAUUUGGGCUACACACGUGCUACAAUGGACAAUACAAAGGGUAGCGAAACCGCGAGGUCAAGCAAAUCCCAUAAAGUUGUUCUCAGUUCGGAUUGUAGUCUGCAACUCGACUAUAUGAAGCUGGAAUCGCUAGUAAUCGUAGAUCAGCAUGCUACGGUGAAUACGUUCCCGGGUCU
rnacentral:rRNA from 1 species